CGACUUGCGAGUCUCUCUCAAGUAGGUUCUCCCUCGAAGAAACUCGGUGGGGAUCCUUGACGUACAAGACGCACAUCCGUAACUUCGUGCUACGUCUAGUCGUAAUAGUAAUCACGCGGAAGCCGAAGACGAAAGAAGAAAGAUUAUUCCUGUGCUUUUUACCACAGGACGCAGUGAUAUUGCGGUGAUGUCACGUAAAUUAUUCAGUGAAAGUGAGGAAGAAAUUGACAUCUGAUAGUUGGCUGUAACUUGGCUGUGUCUUCGGUCGUAAAACGCAUUCUUCGCACUCGUUAUUGCAUAAUGAAAAUUUCUUUCAUGUGCUUGCCCGAAGUGCAGCCGCAUUUGAACCGAACACAUUUGAAUUUGUGGUGCUGUGGUGCCGUAAAGAGUGCGCUGACACGCGUUUCCCCGUAGUAUUUCUGGCAUGGUUGAAUCACUGGCAGUUGCUUCGAGACGAGUCCAAAAUAGUCAACUACCUCGGCCAACUCCUCUCAAAAUCACCGUACUAACGAAGUCUUCUGUGUGAAGGUAGUGGUCUAGGAUCGAAGAUGAGAUGAACCACGGAAAAGAAUCUCCUUGAUGAUUCAGCGUGAUCAUUUGUUCUCUUGGGAAGCGUUGUCAUUCUGUCUUCAAGGUCGAAUUCCAUCUCUUUGAAGUUCAUCGAAUGACGCAUGCUCUUUUACUCAUGAUAUCCAUGCAUCACAUUUAGAACGCAAAGAACAUGGAUCAUUUUUAGAAAUUUUCUCUCUUAGUUAAAUCUUAAAGAUAUCUAACAAAGAGAAAACUAUCUCUUUUAAAAAGUAUAAUAAUAAUAAUAAAUGUAAUAAUAAAUUUAAUAAUAUAUCGGAUUUGAUUUCUUCUCGCUGAUUACAAAGAAUUAAUAUUCUAAAUUCAUAAUGUUUUACAUUAAACUACAAUUUAACUUAAAACAUAAGUUUCAUCUUAAACAAAAAAUAAAAACAAUUGUAAAAAUACACGAACAAAGUAUAUUGAUAUAGGGAUUACACGUUAGCUUUGAAAAAGUCGUGUUUGUAGUACACACGACCCAACAUCUGCCGUGGCUGACGGAGUUGAAUUUUCACGGAGUUUCAAGCCGGCAGCCAAAUAUAGACGGGUAACGUAAUACACAUCACGUGCUCAGAAAUAGCCUAAGAAAAGGGCCUAGCCGAACGUGCACACGGCACUGCAUUUGCUCUUUGCUUGGAAACGUGUGCCGCGUGACAAAAGUGGCCGAUGUAAAUAUAUGUAUCGUAUAUAUGUAUACUACGUGAUUUGUUUUUCGUGAAAACAUAGUGUUUAUUACGCAAACGUUACUUUUGCUUCCGUAAGACUCCAUCAAGGAAAGAUAAGGAUACCUAAGCAUUUUUUUGUUACUUCUUUAUGCUUGUUAUCAUUUAUCACAAAUUUAAUGAUAAAUGUUAUCCCUCAGUAUAUAUACAAAAAUAUCUAAUGUACCAAUUUGUAUAGAAUAAUUUACACACAACGCAAAAUUUAUAAGAAACAUCUCAAUAAUCUCACAAUUAUCAUAUGCGUUUCAUGCGCUAUGUUAAUAAAUCUUCCAUCGCCCCAAAGGUUCUUUUAUACUAUAGGAUAACAUCGUUAUUUACUAUGUAAAGGUGUUAAUUAUAAUAAUAAUCAGGCGAUGGUUUGCAAAACGAUAACAAACGAGACUUGGAUAUUCUUAGAACAUUCGGUUUUAUUGCGACUUUCAUUGUACAAUAAUAAAUAAUCGAUUAGUAAAAUGAUAAUCUCUUUUUUUCAUUUAUGUAUGUGUAUUCUUGUGUGAUUUCUCUAAGAAAAGAGUAUUUAUAAUUGUAGUGAGCGUAUACAUAUGUAAAUGAUGUGUGUGCAUGUAGAUAUAUGUAUAUAUAUUUUUUGUUUUACUUUACGAUAUACUUUUUAUAAUGAAAUAUCGAUACAGCGAACGAGUAAACGAGUUUUUUUUUUUUAACACAGUCGCACCGCUAAUUCUUGUUCCUUUUUAUUCAUAAUAUUGACUAAUAUCGCGCAAUAUCUCAUUAAUAUAUCUAUUUACAGAAUGAAUAGCACUCAUUAUAAAAAGGUUGCAAUCGCAUUUUUGCUCUGAGAUAAAAAUUUUUGAUUAUUACACUACGCUUGUCUCAACUGAUCACAUUACAGCUUCGAUUUUGAUAUUAUUUUUUGUAGCACCUCAUUUUCAGCACCACCUUCGCGACCUUUACUUGCGUGACAUGUUUCUUACGAUAGUUUUUUUGUAAUGAGGAUAAUGAUGUAUACAGGUUUGUAACAUAGCCUCUCACAAGUGUUAUUAAUUACUAUCUCGUUUCACUCGCUCAGCUAUUCUCAAAAUAUGACAAGUUAGUACAAACUCCCCGAGCGCGCACGACACUUUUUUUGAUUAGAUGGUGUUUAAAGUGGAGGUUGAAAAAUCUAGCGGUAGGUUCGGUGGGUUAUGUUUCUAAGGAAGG